UGACCGCUGGCGGCGUGCCUAACACAUGCAAGUCGAACGGAGUCGUUUUGGAAAUCUCUUCGGAGAUGGAAUUCUCGACUUAGUGGCGGACGGGUGAGUAACGCGUGAGCAAUCUGCCUUUAAGAGGGGGAUAACAGUCGGAAACGGCUGCUAAUACCGCAUAAAGCAUUAAAUUCGCAUGUUUUUGAUGCCAAAGGAGCAAUCCGCUUUUAGAUGAGCUCGCGUCUGAUUAGCUAGUUGGCGGGGUAACGGCCCACCAAGGCGACGAUCAGUAGCCGGACUGAGAGGUUGAACGGCCACAUUGGGACUGAGACACGGCCCAGACUCCUACGGGAGGCAGCAGUGGGGAAUAUUGCGCAAUGGGGGAAACCCUGACGCAGCAACGCCGCGUGAUUGAAGAAGGCCUUCGGGUUGUAAAGAUCUUUAAUCAGGGACGAAACAAAUGACGGUACCUGAAGAAUAAGCUCCGGCUAACUACGUG
rnacentral:rRNA from 1 species